CAGCCGUAAACUAUGCGCGUUAGGUGUACUGGUGACCACGAGUCACCGGGGUGCCGAAGGGAAACCGUGAAACGUGCCGCCUGGGAAGUACGGUCGCAAGGCUGAAACUUAAAGGAAUUGGCGGGGAGCGCCACAACCGGGUGGAGCCUGCGGUUUAAUUGGAUUCAACGCCGGACAUCUCACCGGAUAAGACAGCUGAAUGAUUGUCAAUCUGAAGGUUUUACAUGACUAGCUGAGAGGAGGUGCAUGGCGUCAGUGACU
rnacentral:rRNA from 1 species